UACAGAGGUCUCAAGCGUUGUUCGGAUUCAUUGGGCGUAAAGGGUGCGUAGGCGGUGAGGCAAGUCUGGUGUGAAAUCCCGGAGCUCAACUCCGGAACUGCACUGGAUACUGCUUUACUAGAGUACUGGAGAGGGAACUGGAAUUUACGGUGUAGCAGUGAAAUGCGUAGAUAUCGUAAGGAAGACCAGCGGCGAAGGCGAGUUCCUGGACAGUUACUGACGCUGAGGCACGAAAGCGUGGGGAGCAAACAGG
rnacentral:rRNA from 1 species